rnacentral:rRNA from 1 species
UACGUAGGGUGCGAGCGUUGUCCGGAAUUAUUGGGCGUAAAGGGCUCGUAGGCGGCCUGACAAGUUGGGUGUGAAAUACCUCGGCUCAACCGAGGAACAGCGCUCAAAACUGUCAGGCUUGAGGGAGAUAGAGGUGAGCGGAACUUAAGGUGGAGCGGUGAAAUGCGUUGAUAUCUUAAGGAACACCCGUGGCGAAAGCGGCUCACUGGAUCUCUUCUGACGCUCAUGCACGAAAGCUAGGGGAGCAAACGGG